AACGAACGCUGGCGGCAUGCCUAACACAUGCAAGUCGAACGAAGGCUUCGGCCUUAGUGGCGCACGGGUGAGUAACGCGUGGGAAACUGCCUAUUGGUGGGGAAUAACGACGGGAAACUGUCGCUAAUACCGCAUAAGCCCUUCGGGGGAAAGAUUUAUCGCCGAUAGAUGUGCCCGCGUCCGAUUAGCUAGUUGGUGAGGUAAUGGCUCACCAAGGCGACGAUCGGUAGCUGGUCUGAAAGGAUGAUCAGCCACACUGGGACUGAGACACGGCCCAGACUCCUACGGGAGGCAGGAGUGGGGAAUAUUGGACAAUGGGCGAAAGCCUGAUCCAGCAAUGCCGCGUGAGUGAUGAAGGCCUUAGGGUUGUAAAGCUCUUUCGGGUGGGACGAUGAUGACGGUACCACCAGAAGAAGCCCCGGCUAACUUCGUGCCAGCCGCCGCAGUAA
rnacentral:rRNA from 1 species